UGCAAGCGGAACUUCAGUCAAAGAUGUUUGAGACUGUACAAGAUCCAAUUUUAACUUUUUAAUACAGUUUUAACGUCAAUUGCUGACAGAAGUAUUCCUAAGACCUCGGCAAAUCCGAAACAUCCCAGCAAACCAUGGUUUGAUGACGCUUGUGAUCAAGCUGUAGGUGACCGUUAAAAAUCUGAAAGACGGUUCAAUCAACAACCAACGACGGAAAACUUGAGUAAUUUCCGUAUUUUUCGCGCUAAGGCACGGCGGACUUGUAGGCAAGCCCGACGAACAUCCUGGAAAAAAUUUGUCUCGGGGAUAACAUCUCGCACUCCGAUGACAAAAGUUUGAAAUAUGGUACAAAAAAUAAAAGGUAAAAAUUCUAAAGCCACUGUAAAACAUUUGAAAGACGGC
rnacentral:lncRNA from 1 species